GAGCUCGGUGUCUUUGUAAUUUCCUCAGUUAGAACUUAGGGUGCGUUUGGUUCGCACUAUGAAAGAUUACUAGAAAUAAAAAGAUGUCCGAGAAUCUUAUUCCUAUUCAUCCUAUUACUAAGAAUAUGGCAUUUCUGUGUUUGGUUCGCAUGAUUAUAUUAUUUAGUCAUGUUAUUUAAGUUUACAAAAAAUAUACAAUUAAUUUAUUUAUUUCUUUAAUUAAUUUUAGAUAAUGCCACAAAAAAUUUCAACAUCUUUUUAGAAAAAGGGAGAGAGAACAUAGGUUAGAGAAAGAGAAAGCAUAAUUAAAGAAAUAGGAAGAGAAAUCGAGUCGAGAGUAGAGAGAGUGAGAGAGUUGAGAUUUUAGAAAAAGAGGAGGAGAGAGAGCUUAGUUUAGAGAGAGAAAAAGAGUUGAAGUUUAGAGAGAAAAAAAUAAGUUUAGAGAGAGAUAUGAGGUUAGAGUCUAAAGAAAAAUAAUACCAACUAGCCGGCAGGUAGAGAGAAAGAAAGAGAUUAGACAUAUUAUGAUUAUCCCAAUCCAUUAAUAUGAGGAUACCCACCCUCUCUCAAGGGAAUGAGAUUAGUACUUUAGGAUGAAUCUCAUUCCCAAGUAAAUCUAAUAUUACCAACUAGAUUACUUAGUGCGUUUAGCCAAAUACCGUCAUAUUUUUUUUAUUCUUAUUAGAUUACUAGGAAUCUUAAAAAGAUAGCGGGAACCAAACGCACCCUUAGUACUAUGUGGUUUCUUCCUUAAUUA
rnacentral:lncRNA from 1 species